AGACUUAAAGGGCCGCGGUAUAUUGACCGUGCAAAGGUAGCAUAAUCAUUAGUUUUUUAAUUGGAAACUCGUAUGAAUGGUUGAACAAAAGAAUCACUGUCUCUUUAUCUAAUAUUGAACUUAACUUUUAAGUGAAAAGGCUUAAAUUUUUUAAGGGGACGAUAAGACCCUAUAAAGCUUUAUAAUGAAAUAUUAUUUUAUAAAUAUAAUUUAUAAAAAUAAAAUAAAAUGACCUUAUUUUGUUGGGGCGACAUAGAUAUAAAUACAUUUUAUAACUGUCAAUAAAUAAAACAUAAAUUUAUGAAUAAUAAAAUGAUCCUUAUUUUAAAGAUUAAAAGACUAAGUUACUUUAGGGAUAACAGCGUUAUUUCUUUUGAGAGUUCUUAUUGAAAAAGAAGGUUGCGACCUCGAUGUUGAAUUAAAGAAUCUUUAUAGUGCAGCCGUUAUAAAAAGAAGGUCUGUUCGACCUUUAAAUCUUUA
rnacentral:rRNA from 1 species